rnacentral:rRNA from 1 species
GAUUUCUGGUACGGCGCACUUGGCCCGCCGCGGUUACGCGGUUGUGUGCCGGUGUGCGCCUGCCAUCCAUCUAGAGAGCGCUGUCGCCCUUCACUGGGUGGGCAGUGGUAUCUAGAUCUUUUACUUUGAAAAAAUUAGAGUGUUUAGAGCAGGCUUGUGCUGUGAAUACAUUAGCAUGGAAUAAUAAUUUAGGACUUUGGUCUUAUUUUGUUGGUUUCUAGGACUAAAGUAAUGAUUGAUAGGGACAGUUGGGGGUGCUAGUAUUCAGCGGCCAGAGGUGAAAUUCUUGGAUUCGCUGAAGACUAACUUAUGCGAAAGCAUU